AGGAGCCCACACUGCCCAUCUGAUUCCAGGCAUUUGGGGGUGAAUCCUGCCUCCCAGGCCCCGCUACGAUCUCCUAAGGACUGAGCUGGGUCUCUGCUCCUCUGCCCUCCUUCCCCUGAUGCACAGUACACUGGGGCCACACAGACUAUCUAAACUGGGUUUGGCUCGCUGCCUGUUCUGGUGACCGUGACUCCUCCACGGGCCUGUCUCGAGCAGGCUGCUGUUUCCCCAGGCAGCUUUCCAGAGCGCUGUGCUCCAGCACCGAGCCCACCUUCCCUUCACUGUUCAGGAGUCUUAGACCCGAAGCUUGCAUGCAUGCCUGCUAGGUUGCUUCAGUAGUGUCCGACUCUUUGCGACCCUAUGGACUGUCUAUGGGAUUCUCCCACUGUCUGCCCACUGUCUGCGGGAUUCUCCAGAGACCUCAAGUGGAGACCGUGCCUUCUCCCAGGGCUAGCCCGGUGCCCAUGCAGAGAAUGCGGAGACUACUUUCAGGAAGGCCCUAAGCAGAGUGAUCACCCUGGGGAGUCCUGUGCCUCCCGGCACUCUGCUCCCCACCACCUGGGACCUCCUCC